UACGUAGGGUGCGAGCGUUGUCCGGAAUUAUUGGGCGUAAAGAGCUCGUAGGCGGCUUGUCGCGUCGUCCGUGAAAACCUGCGGCUCAACUGCAGGCUGGCGGUCGAUACGGGCAGGCUGGAGUUCGGUAGGGGAGACUGGAAUUCCUGGUGUAGCGGUGAAAUGCGCAGAUAUCAGGAGGAACACCGGUGGCGAAGGCGGCCAUCUGGACCGGAACUGACGCUGAGGCGCGAAAGCCAGGGGAGCGAAUGGG
rnacentral:rRNA from 1 species